GGUGGUCACCUGCACCAGUGCGUAGGCCUUCCGUGGUCGCCUCACCACCUCGAUGUGCUCCCGUGCCACCGGCAGCCCCAGCCGUUCCAGGGCGUCUCGCAGCAGGCAGGCCCUCCGGUGCCACGAAUCCCCAUCUUCCCCUUCGUGACCAAUCCCAGGCUCCGCUGAGCACUGAUGACCCAGCUACUCCCCAAGACGGAUCUGAGCACACACUGCUGGGUCCAGGGCUGCCCCGGACCCCAGGCCCCCUGCUCCACGCCAGAGACGGAGGUUGCUGUCCGGCCGGAGCCCUGAAAAAUAGGGACACUGAGGCAGAGGCUCGGCUGGGGAAGCCCAGAGAGGAGACCGAGGCCGUCAGGCGCAGCGUGAGGCUCUGGAAGAGCCUGGCAGGUGCCCUCCCCAUGCCCACCCCGGCAUGACGGCUGUGAGCUCCCCAUGCUCCCCCUCCUCUCUUUCAGGCCUGUCUAGACACUGCCAACAUGAGCUGCUCUCACAGCAACCACGCAGCAGGGUCUGUAGCUGCCAAAGAAGAAGGCUACGUGGGGUCGUGGCUGGCCAGGAGAGGCGCCCUGACGGAUGGAACAUGUGAACAUGUGAACCAGAGGACGUGACUCACUUCUCCAGGGGCCUUGCUAUCAGGCAGCCUUUUGCGUGAGGGUUUCCACGCUGAUCUGCGUGCCCAAGCUCUCCCCACUCUUACUGGGG